rnacentral:rRNA from 1 species
CGCGAAUGGCUCAUUAUAACAGCUAUAAUUUACUUGAUCUUGACACAAUCCUACUUGGAUAACUGUGGUAAUUCUAGAGCUAAUACAUGCAUUAAAGCUCUGACCUCACGGGAAGAGUGCAUUUAUUAGAACAAAACCAAGCGGCUUCGGCUGUUUCUGGUUGACUCAUAGUAACUGAGCUGAUCGCACGGUCUUGCACCGGCGACGUGUCUUUCAAGUAUCUGCCGUAUCAACUUUCGAUGGUAGUGUAUCUGACUACCAUGGUGAUCACGCGUAACGGAGAAUAAGGGUUCGGCUCCGGAGAGUUCGCCUGAGAAAUCGCGAACACAUCUAAGGAAGGCAGCAGGCGCGAAGAUUACCCACUCUCAGCACGAGGAGGUAGUGACGAAAAAUAACGAGACCGUUCUCUUAUGAGGCCGGUCAUCGGAAUGGGUACAAUUUAAACCCUUUAACGAGUAUCUAUGAGAGGGCAAGUCUGGUGCCAGCAGCCGCGGUAAUUCCAGCU